UACGGAGGGAGCUAGCGUUGUUCGGAAUUACUGGGCGUAAAGCGCGCGUAGGCGGCUUUGUAAGUUAGAGGUGAAAGCCCGGGGCUCAACUCCGGAACUGCCUUUAAGACUGCAUCGCUUGAAUCCGGGAGAGGUGAGUGGAAUUCCGAGUGUAGAGGUGAAAUUCGUAGAGAUGUGGAGGAACACCGAUGGCGAAGGCAGCCUUCUGGGCCAACACUGACGCUCAUGCACGAAAGCGUGGGGAGCAAACAGG
rnacentral:rRNA from 1 species